GACGUCGAUAUUCGACGUCAUAAACACGAUCAACUUUGGUGUUUAUGACGUCGAUAUUCGACGUCAUACACAAGAUCAACUUUGGUGUUUAUGACGUCGAUAUUCGACGUCAUAAACACGAUCAACUUAGGUGUUUAUGACGGCGAUAUACGACGUCAUAAACGCGAUCAACUUUGGUGUUUAUAACGUCGAUAUUCGACUUCAUAUGACGUGGAUAUUCGACUUCAUAAACACGAUCACCUUUGGUGUUUAUGACGUCGAUAUUGGACGUAAUAAACACGAUCAACUUUGGUGUUUAUGACGUCGAUAUUCGACGUCAUAAACACGGUCAACUUUGGUGUUUAUGACGUCAAUAUUCGACGUA
rnacentral:miRNA from 1 species